rnacentral:rRNA from 1 species
UACAGAGGGUGCAAGCGUUGUUCGGAAUUAUUGGGCGUAAAGCGCGUGUAGGCGGUCCGGUAAGUCCGCUGUGAAAGUCGAGGGCUCAACUCCGGAUCUGCGGUGGGUACGGGCAGACUAGAGUGAUGUAGGGGAGACUGGAAUUCCUGGUGUAGCGGUGAAAUGCGCAGAUAUCAGGAGGAACACCGGUGGCGAAGGCGGGGUCUCUGGGCCGAAAUUGACGCUGAGGAGCGAAAGCGUGGGGAGCAAACAGG